CUCUAGCAUCCCAAGUAUUAGAGGCACCGCCUGCCCGGUGACAUCCCAAGUUAAACGGCCGCGGUAUCCUGACCGUGCAAAGGUAGCAUAAUCAUUUGUUCUUUAAAUAAGGACUUGUAUGAAAGGCUUGACGAGGGUUUAACUGUCUCUUACUUAUAGUCAAUGAAAUUGAUACUCCCGUGAAGAAGCGGGGAUAAAAUAAUAAGACGAGAAGACCCUAUGGAGCUUUAAUUAAUUAAUUCAUUUUCACAAAACCAACUCAACAAGAAAUAAAACUAGAAUUAUGAAUUAAAAAUUUUGGUUGGGGUGACCUCGGAGCAAAACCAAACCUCCGAAUGAUUUUAACCUAGACCUACAAGUCAAAGUUACUAUCAUAAAUUGACCCAGAAAUACUCUGAUCAACGAACCAAGUUACCCUAGGGAUAACAGCGCAAUCCUAUUAUAGAGUCCAUAUCGACAAUAGGGUUUACGACCUCGAUGUUGGAUCAGGACCCCCAAAUGGUGCAACCGCUAUUAAAGGUUCGUUUGUUCAACGAUUAAAGUCCU
rnacentral:rRNA from 1 species